GAGAGGGGCAAGCAGGGAUGCAGGACCGCAUUCCAGCCCGGGGGAAGGGACGAGACCCAGGCAUGCGCACAAGGCGCCUCAGCUUCCAGACUAGGAUUCCCUUAAAGCCGUGCUCACUUCACGGGCAUUAUACAAGCUCAAGGGCGGGAGGGAGAGAGUUCCUUCUUUUUACGACACUUCCGCUUCCUUUUCUCUCCCAGUUUUCCAGGCUUGCUGCUUCCCGCCUCCUUUUCUCUGUGCUCUGCCUUCUGUGGCCUUUGCUCUGCCCCAGGAGGACAGCCUGGAGGAAGAGGGAAUGGCUUCUGCCCCGAAACCCGGGCCCGGGAAGGUGAGUGCAAGUUGCAGCUUUCCUGAAAUAGCAUCUCAGGCCAGAGCCCUUGGGGUAGGUUUCUUUGUCCUGUGCUGUAACACUAGAAAUCGUGGGCAUCAGAGAAUUAUAGCCAGAGACACCAAUGUAUCCUCUCCCCACACAAAAAAAGGCCUAAUUACUUUUACUUUAGAUUAAUGGAAAUGGAGAAUAAGGGAGCAAUCCUUGAAGGAUGGACAGGUUAAGUAAUUGGAGGGCAAGGUGUGGAAUGUCAGUAAAGUAGAAGAGGUAGGAGGGUUAGGAGAUGAGGUAGCACAAACGUGAGACCAAAGAUCAGAAGAAGAAUUUGUUACAGAAAGUGUAUGUUUAUGCAUGUUCGUGUAUAUCUAUAUAUAAAUGUGUCUGUGCUUAAUUAUAUCCUGGGCGGGAGAUAAAGAGGGAAAAAAAAACAAAAAGUGCACAGCAGAGAACAAAAGAAAACCAACAAGGAAGCAAACCAAAGAUGAACAGCAUUAUAUAGGCUUUCUUGAGAUGGAAAUUUGUUGCUAUAUAUUUUGAAUCAUCUUACAUUCUGCUGUGCACAUGACAUGCUUUUUUCCCCUUUGUAUUUAAGUUAAAAUAUUUAAGUUGGUAAUAUGUUCUUUUAUUUACAUUUAUGUUUCAGUAGUUAAAAAAAGGAAAUAAAUAAAUGGGAACACUUAACA
rnacentral:lncRNA from 1 species